AAAACACCAGCCCACGAACUGCCCAGAUCGUCAUGGAGCGCCCACCCCGAUCCCCCUCGCGUCGCCCACUCUGGAUCACCCGCCGCCGCGCCUCCCGCGUCGUCGCCUCCCUCCCUGCCCCGCGCCGUGGCCGGGCUCCCUCCAAACAACCGCCGCAACCGGACCUCACCAUCGUCGGACGCCGCCGGUCCGGCAACCACCAACGCCGACAAGAUACCCGGAGCGCGCAUCGGAUCCCGCCUAACCGCCGGUCCCCGCGACCCAGGUGGCCAGCGGAGCGGUCAAGCUGCUGCCCCUGCGGGAAGCCCGCGUCGGAUCCCGCCUCUCCCCAUGUGCAUCGGCGUCCACCGCUAGCCCCCAAGCGCGCCACCCAGGGGCCCCAUCCCCAGACACCAUCCUUCGUCGUUGGCGCACCAUGGAUGUUUUCCUAUUCUGCCUGGAAAUUGUUCUCCAUCCUCUUGCCUCGCCAUCUUGGCGUUCCUCUUACUAGCCUGCCCGUCCUGCAGAUUCAGCUAGAACAUGCCUUGGCCUGCUGGAAGUGGCCUCGACCUACAGCUGGGCACCCACCUCCACAGGUGUCUACCACCUACAGCCGGCGCUGCAUGCCCAGGCCGUUCAACUUUGCCAUACCAUUGCCUCCUCCAAAGCCAAGCUAUUAUACAAAAAGGGUGGUGAUCUUCUCAUGAGCACUGCCCCAACAGGAACAUCUCUCAACUACUAUAGUACCUUAGUGUGGAAUUUAUGUAGAGAACAAGUUCUUAUUCUUCUCAUGAGCUCUGUACAUGCUUGUUUACAUUGUCAAUGAGAACGAAUACUUUUGUUCUUCA